UACAGAGGUCUCAAGCGUUGUUCGGAUUCAUUGGGCGUAAAGGGUGCGUAGGCGGCGCGGUAAGUCGGGUGUGAAAUCUCGGAGCUUAACUCCGAAACUGCAUUCGAUACUGCCGUGCUUGAGGACUGGAGAGGAGACUGGAAUUUACGGUGUAGCGGUGAAAUGCGUAGAUAUCGUAAGGAAGACCAGUGGCGAAGGCGGGUCUCUGGACAUUUCCUGACACUGAGGCACGAAAGCCAGGGGAGCAAACGGG
rnacentral:rRNA from 1 species